AUACUUACCUGGCAGGGGAGACACUGUGAUCACCAAGGCAGUUCUCCCAGGGCGAGGCUCACCCAUUGCACUUCGGGUGUGCUGACCCCUGCGAUUUCCCCAAAUGCGGGAAACUCGACUGCAUAAUUUAUGGUAGUGGGGGACUGCGUUCGCGCUUUCCCCUG
ensembl:snRNA U1 U1 spliceosomal RNA